UUGCCAUGAUGAGAUAUCCCAAUUCAGUUCUGCUUCUGAAGACAAUUGAAGACACCCAUAUACCAAAAAUAAACCUCUGAUAA
rnacentral:snoRNA from 1 species